rnacentral:rRNA from 1 species
CAGCCGCCGCGGGAAUACGUAGGUGGCAAGCGUUGUCCGGAAUUAUUGGGCGUAAAGGGCUCGCAGGCGGUUUCUUAAGUCUGAUGUGAAAGCCCCCGGCUCAACCGGGGAGGAUCAUUGGAAACUGGGAAACUUGAGUGCAGAAGGGGAGAGUGGAAUUCCACGUGUAGCGGUGAAAUGCGUAGAGAUGUGGAGGAACACCAGUGGCGAAGGCGACUCUCUGGUCUGUAACUGACGCUGAGGAGCGAAAGCGUGGGGAGCGAACAGGAUUAGAGACCCCCGUAGUCCCUGUCUCUUAUAC